rnacentral:rRNA from 1 species
AUUGAACGCUGGCGGCAGGCCUAACACAUGCAAGUCGAGCGGAUGAAGGGAGCUUGCUCCUGGAUUCAGCGGCGGACGGGUGAGUAAUGCCUAGGAAUCUGCCUGGUAGUGGGGGAUAACGUCCGGAAACGGGCGCUAAUACCGCAUACGUCCUGAGGGAGAAAGUGGGGGAUCUUCGGACCUCACGCUAUCAGAUGGGCCUAGGUCGGAUUAGCUAGUUGGUGGGGUAAAGGCCUACCAAGGCGACGAUCCGUAACUGGUCUGAGAGGAUGAUCAGUCACACUGGAACUGAGACACGGUCCAGACUCCUACGGGAGGCAGCAGUGGGGAAUAUUGGACAAUGGGCGAAAGCCUGAUCCAGCCAUGCCGAGUGUGUGAAGAAGGUCUUCGGAUUGUAAAGCACUUUAAGUUGGGAGGAAGGGCAGUAAGUUAAUACCUUGCUGUUUUGACGUUACCAACAGAAUAAGCACCGGCUAACUUCGUG